rnacentral:rRNA from 1 species
AUUGAACGCUGGCGGCAGGCCUAACACAUGCAAGUCGAGCGAGCGGCGGGCGGGUGAGAAAUAUAUGGGGAUCUGCCCGAUAGAGGGGGAUCACUACUGGAAACGGUGGCUAAUCCCGCAUACUAUCGGAUCAAACCAUAUGGGAUUAGCUAGUAGGUGGGGUAAAGGCUCACCUAGGCGACGAUCUCUAGCUGGUCUGAGAGGAUGAACAGCCACACGGGGACUGAGACACGGCCCAGACUCCUACGGGAGGCAGCAGUGGGGAAUAUUGCACAAUGGGCGCAAGCCUGAUGCAGCCAUGCCGCGUGUAUGAAGAAGGCCUUAGGGUUGUAAAGUUCUUUCAGCGGGGAGGCGGUACCCGCAGAAGAAGCACCGGCUAACUCCGUGCCAGCAGCCGCGGUAAUUC